UACGUAGGUGACAAGCGUUGUCCGGAAUGACUGGGCGUAAAGGGCGUGUAGGUGGACUAAUCAGUCGGAUGUGAAAUAUCCGGGCUUAACCCGGGGGGUGCAUCCGAUACGGUUAGUCUUGAGUGCAGGAGAGGGCAGUGGAAUUCCCAGUGUAGCGGUGAAAUGCGUAGAGAUUGGGAGGAACACCAGUGGCGAAGGCGGCUGCCUGGACUGUAACUGACACUGAGGCGCGAAAGCGUGGGGAGCAAACAGGAUUAGAUACC
rnacentral:rRNA from 1 species